rnacentral:rRNA from 1 species
GCGGCCUAUCAGCUUGUUGGGGAGGUAACGGCUCACCAAGGCUUCGACGGGUAGCUGGUCUGAGAGGAUGAUCAGCCACACUGGGACUGAGACACGGCCCAGACUCCUACGGGAGGCAGCAGUGGGGAAUCUUGCGCAAUGGGCGAAAGCCUGACGCAGCCACGCCGCGUGCGGGAUGAAGGCCUUAGGGUUGUAAACCGCUUUUAACAGGAACGAAAAUGACGGUACCUGUAGAAUAAGGUGCGGCCAACUACGUGCCAGCGGCCGCGGUGACACGUAGGCACCAAGCGUUGUCCGGAUUUAUUGGGCGUAAAGAGCUCGUAGGCGGUUCAGUAAGUCGGGUGUGAAAACUCUGGGCUUAACCCAGAGACGCCACUCGAUACUAUUGUGACUAGAGUUCGGUAGGGGAGACUGGAAUUCCU